GGAAUCUUAGACAAUGGGCGCAAGCCUGAUCUAGCCAUGCCGCGUGAGCGAUGAAGGCCUUAGGGUUGUAAAGCUCUUUCACCGGGGAAGAUCAUGACGGUACCCGGACACGAAGCCCCGGCUAACUCCGUCCCAGCAGCCCCGGUAAUACGGAGGGGGCUAGCGUUGUUCGGAAUUACUGGGCGUAAAGCGCGCGUAGGCGGGCUGUUAAGUCGGGGGUGAAAUCCCGGGGCGCAACCCCGGAACUGCCUUCGAUACUGGCAGCCUGGAGUCCGAGAGAGGUGAGUGGAAUUCCGAGUGUAGAGGUGAAAUUCGUAGAUAUUCGGAGGAACACCAGUGGCGAAGGCGGCUCACUGGCUCGGUAUUGACGCUGAGGUGCGAAAGCGUGGGGAGCAAAC
rnacentral:rRNA from 1 species